GGGUCAGUAGGUUGGUCGUGCCACCGGUACGUACUGGUCUCACUGAUUCCUCCUUCCUGAAGAACCGUAAUGCCAUUAAUUUGGUGUUGCGGGAAACAGGACUGUUACUUUGAAAAAAUUAGAGUGUUUAAAGCAAGCUAACGCUUGAAUACAUUAGCAUGGAAUAAUGAAAUAGGACGAUCGAUCCUAUUUUGUUGGUUUCUAGGAUUGACGUAAUGAUAAUAGGGGUAGUUGGG
rnacentral:rRNA from 1 species